rnacentral:lncRNA from 1 species
AAUGGUGAUAUCAAGGUGAAGAAGGAGUACAAACGUCAUAAAAGGAAGGCUUUUGGGAUGAUUGCAAUAAACCUUGAUGAUGCCAACUUUUCACAUGUUAUAGCUUGUAAUGGACCAAUGGAAGCAUCGAAGACUCUUUGCAACAUCUAUGAGAGUAGAAACCUUACCAACAUCCUUUGGACAAGGAGGAAGUUCUUGACAGUAAAGAUGGAAGAAAGAAAUGACCUCAUGGCUCAUGUUAACAAGGUAAAAGUACUUGCU